rnacentral:lncRNA from 1 species
UGCAAAGAAGGCCAAACAGACCGAAACUAAAAAGAAAUAUUAAUAUUCAUGACCUGAGCAGAAUCAAAACUCAAGGAACCAUUGGUUGAAAAGUAACAUGAAUAAUCGUCAUUCUACUCAUUCCCUUGAGCUUGAGCUUGAGCUUGAGCUUGAAAUAUAACCUGUCCAAAAACGUAGUAAACUGCCAUUGCCUGUUCAAUAGCAUACAUUCUCACUUGCAGGAGUUCAGAAAUUCAAAACUCCAUAGACUAAUUAAUAUAUGUAGUAGCAAACUGCCUAACCAUUAGAGGUGGUCAUUCUCACUUACUUGUAGUAUAAACCAAGGCGGCACGAUUCUACAAGUUCGAAACUCCAUAGACAAUCUAAACCACAAUUAUGCAUUGUAAAUAGUAGUAUCACAUAAGUAUUAAGCAUAAUUAAAAAUGGGAAAUAUAGAGUAGUAAUUAAAUUUACAAAGUACGUACCCUUCAAUUCAGCUCAACCGUAAAACUUCUUCAGCUAUAGAAAGUGAGGAUUGGAUUUCCUAAGCCUACUUUUUCCAGAUUUACUCCUAUAACCCCUAAACGGGGGCAAAAAGGCCCUUACCAUUACCAAUGUUGCUGAGAGACUUUUGUUUCUCUCUAGCACAAACUCUUUUGAGCGCUUCUUUGCACACUUCCCUGUC